rnacentral:rRNA from 1 species
AUGAAGAUGGUUCGUCUCUGCAGCUCCGACGGCGAGGAGUUCGAGGUGGCGGAGGAGACCAUCGUCGCGGCGUCGGUGAUGAUCAAGGACAUGCUAGAGGACGGCGAAGUCGCCGUCGGCGUGAUCCCGCUCCCCAACGUGACCGGUCCCAUCCUCUCCCGAGUCCUCGACUACGUCAACAGGCACUUCUCCGACCCCCACGACCACAAAACCUCGUCCUGCCCCGCCGCCGACGACCCCCUCAGGCGGUUCGACGACUCCUUCGUCCAGGUCGACCAGGACACCCUCUUCGACCUCAUGCUCGCUGCCAAUUACCUCGACAUGAAGAGCCUGCUCGACCUGACGUGCAAGACGGUGGCGGACCAGAUCAGGGGCAGGACCCUCGAGGAGAUCCGCAAGAAGUUCAACAUCGUCAACGACUACACCAAGGACGAGGAGCAGGAGGUCCGCAGGGAGAACUCGUGGGCAUUCGACUAA